GAUGAACGCUGGCGGCGUGCCUAAUACAUGCAAGUCGAACGAACAGACGCUGAGCUUGCUCCUCUCACGUUAGCGGCGCACGGGUGAGUAACGCGUGGAUAACCCACCUAUCAGACUGGGAUCACUUCGAGACACCGGCGCUAAUCCCGUAUAAUAUCUUGAACCGCAUGGUUCAAUAGUGAGAGUCGGCUGUGCGGUCACUUCUCGCUGGAUCCGCGCCGUAUUAGCUAGUUGGUACGUUAACGGCUUAUCAAGGCGACGAUGCGUAGCCGACCUGAGAGGGGGAUCGGCCACAUUGGAACGGGGACACGGUCCAGGCUCCUACGGGAGGCAGCAGUAGGGAAUCUUCCGCAAUGGGCGAAAGCCUGACGGAGCAACGGCGCGUGAGUGAUGAAGGUCUUCGGAUCGUAAAACUCUGUUAUUAGGGAAGAACAAAUGUGUAAGUAACUAUGCACGUCUUGACGGUACCUAAUCAGAAAGCCACGGCUAACUACGUG
rnacentral:rRNA from 1 species